rnacentral:rRNA from 1 species
UCCUACGGGAGGCAGCAGUGGGGAAUUUUCCGCAAUGGGCGAAAGCCUGACGGAGCAAGACCGCGUGAGGGAGGAAGGCUCUUGGGUUGUAAACCUCUUUUAUCAGGGAAGAACAAAAUGACGGUACCUGAGGAAUCAGCAUCGGCUAACUCCGUGCCAGCAGCCGCGGUAAUACGGAGGAUGCAAGCGUUAUCCGGAAUUAUUGGGCGUAAAGCGUCCGCAGGUGGCUAAUCAAGUCUGCUGUCAAAGACUGGGGCUUAACCCCGGAAAGGCAGUGGAAACUGAGAAGCUAGAGUGCGGUAGGGGUAGAGGGAAUUCCCGGUGUAGCGGUGAAAUGCGUAGAGAUCGGGAAGAACAUCGGUGGCGAAAGCGCUCUACUGGACCGCAACUGACACUCAGGGACGAAAGCUAGGGGAGCGAAUGGGAUUAGAUACCCCAGUAGUCCUAGCCGUAAACGAUGGAUACUAGGUGUGGCUUGUAUCGACCCGAUCCGUGCCGUAGCUAACGCGUUAAGUAUCCCGCCUGGGGAGUACGC